AAAUUGAAGAGUUUGAUCAUGGCUCAGAUUGAACGCUGGCGGCAGGCCUAACACAUGCAAGUCGAACGGUAACAGAAAGAAGCUU
rnacentral:rRNA from 1 species